AAAAACCUCUCAACGCAAGUCAACAUGUUCAAAUAGUUAUAGUUUCUAAAAAAGACAGACUGAGAUCUCUUGAAGUUUGUGUUGCCUGGAACGCCAAUUAAACCUGACAGGAUGUAUUCAUUCAUUUUAAUGCAGGGUUGCAUCUGGAAAAUAAUAGGCAAUAAUAAAAUACAUAUAUUACUCACUAUUUACAAAACUGACCCGAGGUUUUAAGUGACCUAGGCUGCUGCCCAGGUACGUCAAGCCAGCAGGGGGCCACCGAGUCCUCUGUAAUUCUUAAACAGUACAGUAACUCAGAACUUUAGUCUGUAGUGAAGUUAAAAACAAAUACAAGCACCCAUGCACAUACACCCAUAUCUAUCUAUAUCUAUAUAUCUUUACUUUCUGUUCUGUCUGAGCUGAGGUCAUAUUUCAUGCUUACUGUAACUAUUUGCAUAUAGCUCCACAUUCAACCUGAGGCCAACCCUAAUAAUCUAUCAUGUCAAGGCAGUACUAUUUCAUUCUUAUGCAAUGUUGUGCACAGCUAACAAAGUAAACUACAAUAGCCUAUAUACUGUAUAUAUAUGUAUGUACAUGUAUGUACUGUAUGUAUGUAUGUAUGUAUGUAAAUAUACUGUAAAUAUACUCCUAAUCUUUCCAUGGUGUGUGGUAAUGACUUUAAUUAGGCUUUCAGUCUCAAACGGGCCUUGAUAACAUAUUAAUCUGCUCCGUCUCUCUGACAUGUAACUGUGUGCCUUUGAAUUGACGGCUGUUUCUGUUUCCCCCUCCUUCUGCACUGAACAGAUUUUACAUUGUUCCUUUCAUGCAAAUGUCUACCUGUGUGAUUGUCUCAUUACUUCAGGGUCGUAAAUCUCAGCUGGUGAGGAUUAUCAGUUGCGUCCACUAUUCCGGUAAGCCGGCUAACGACAUUUCCGUAAGCCAAAUCCUGAAACUAUCGGUUUCCUUCUGACUGGCAGAUGGGAGGUUGUUCAUACGGAAUUCCCCCGUUUAGAAAGGCACUUAAGUCGGCAACCUAUAGCGACUGCGCCAGUCACUCGCCGGAGAAGUCUGGGAGACGUUUGCGCACGCUGGCGGCUCCGGGUGCAGCGCCUGGUGCUGUGUGGAAAAGUUCAAGUAGACUUGCAUCAUUGUACUUGACGGAAGUCUGCGUACUUCCCACUCGAGGAAUCUCUUCUUGCAAAAAGCAAACUCGCGCACUUACUGCAGACCUCCUCACUCAGUCCAAUUAUGCUCUGCAAAGAGCACAUCAACGUAAGUAAGUCUGCUGAUAUUGUUAGCAAAGCACUUUUUUUUGCAGCCCCUCUCCCCUACAUCCUACCCAAAUUCUUCUGAUAUCUACUUCAAUGUGUGGGAACCAUGCCCAGCUUGGUAAGUCUGCACAAGUAUUUCUGAGAAAAAAAGAGGAAAACUAUUUUAUGUUCCUCAUUCUUUUUCUUGUUUAGCUUUAUAGAGCAUGUCUUCAUGUUUCAGUCAUGCUGAACUGUCUCUAUAAGUUGGUAUGUGAAAGUGUUCUGCAUGGAUUAAACCAAAUACAUCUAAAAAAAAAAAAAAGCAUUUUGUUUUGCUCAGGUUAUGCCUUAACAUGAUAGUUUGCUAAAUAAUACAUCAUUCCACUGUGACUGUCAUGAAGUGGGGGUGUAGAUAGUGAGGAGAAAAGCGGUAAACCCAGGUGGAAGUGAAGGCAAUGAUGAUUUAACGAUGAAAGUCUCGAUAAUCCAGACAGCACAGAUGAGCAGAGGCAAGGGCUCACACUGGUAGUAACUGGACUCGACUUGAAGACACAGACUGGUACGAGAAGGACCCGACAAAGACACAGAAACACAGG